UACGAAGGGGGCUAGCGUUGCUCGGAAUCACUGGGCGUAAAGCGCACGUAGGCGGAUCUUUAAGUCAGGGGUGAAAUCCUGGAGCUCAACUCCAGAACUGCCUUUGAUACUGGGGAUCUCGAGUCCGGAAGAGGUGAGUGGAACUCCGAGUGUAGAGGUGAAAUUCGUAGAUAUUCGGAAGACCAGUGGCGAAGGCGGGUCUCUGGACAGUUCCUGACGCUGAGGCACGAAGGCCAGGGGAGCAAACGGG
rnacentral:rRNA from 1 species